CCAGGUUCAAGCGAUUCUCCUGCCUCAGCCUCCCGAGUAGCUGGGAUUACAGGUGCCCACCACCAUGCCUGGCUAAUUUUUUUGUUUUUUUUUUUGUGGUAGAGACAAGGUUUCACGACGUUGGCCAGGCUGGUCCCGAACUCCUGACCUCAGGUGAUCCGCCCACCUCAGUCUCCCAAAGUGCUGGGAUUAUAGGUGUGAGCCACUGUGCCCAGCUGCUACUGAAUACUUGAAAUAUGGCCAGUGCCACCGAGUGUAAAUAUAAAAUGCACACUGGAUGUCAAAGACUUUGUCCAAAAAAAAAAGAAAUAUAAAUUAAAAAAAGAAUUACAUGCGCAGUGGCUCACGCCUGUAAUCCCAACACUUUGGUAGGUCGAGGAAGGCAGAUCAUUUGAGGUCAGGAGUUCAAAACCAGCCUGGCCAACAUUAGCUCAUUAAUAAUUUUUAUAUUGGUCACAUGUUAAAAAUAUAUUGUAUAUAUCAAAUUAAUUUCUUUUGUUUCUUUUUACUUUUUAAAUUUUAC
rnacentral:lncRNA from 1 species